AAUAGGACACAAUAAUUUUUAUACCGGUGAGGUACUUACAUCUAGUUUCCCUUGGGUCACAAGGGACUUCUUAGAUCUUUGAUAAUAGGUUACAAUGAUGAUGGUUUUGGUUCGCUCACCAUCAACAACAUUCAGUGAUAAUGCCUUUUGUAAUGUUGACACAACUUUCUUUUUGUGUUCUAUCUCUUCCUAUCUUUUAUGACACUUGUAGACUCAAGAAUACAAUGUUUGUACUAAGAACUAGAAAGGUUUAGAAUCAGUUUAUGUAGUUGCGCAUCCAAUCCUUGAGUAUGCCACUCUUCUUAUAGACCAGAUUUUAGAGCUGUUGUUGAUUUGUUUUUGAUAUUUGAUUCAUGACUCAUGCCUUUAAUUCCUUCAAGAAGGAUGGGCUGGAUUUAAUAAUCUAGUGUUCCAAGCCGAGAUCUAGAGAGUGCUUCCAUGCUCCAUGCUUUGUCGAAGAAAGGAGUAGAUGGGCUGGAUUAGUUUAUCCAGGGAGUGCUUUCCAUGCUCCAUGCUUUAUUGGGUAGAGGAACAAUACUUCAAGUUGUCUCCCAUUAUAUUAUGUUUCCCUUCCACUUUGAAUCUUCCUUCAUACAUGAUCUGCUAUUUGUAUUUGCAGGUGAGUUAUAUAUAAGGCAAUGGUUCAAAAUACAUAGCCAUUGAGCAGAUCUUCAUUCCUUUUUGGCAAUGCUUGCUUCACCUGAAUCUGCAUACACUAAUAUAACAUUAGUCAAGACUUCUUUAUGGAUAUUUGAUCAUUAUUAAAAUUCUACACUUAACCGUCAUUAGUUUAUCAUUCAUCAGAUGAAGUCAUAAAUUCCUAAUAUAUAGAGGAAAGAAAAUCCCUUGCAAAGGGAGCACUGUUGCAGGCUAAAAACCUUGACUUAAACUGGUGUUUCCGUUGAUGUUUUGAUGUAGAAACUAUAAGCUGAGCACACAAAUGAUAGAAAGGCAUGUAGGAGAGAUAUCUGGUUUGAGUUUGAGAUAAAUGAGGCAACUGCAGUAACUAGUAGCUGAGAUAAGAAUUUAGUUUGAGAAUGUUCAAAUGAAUAACUAGCUAGCUAGUUUCUUGCCACCUAUAACCAAGAUCCUGGAGCAUCUGUUAAGAAGUCAAAGGAGAAAAGCUCCUGGCCUCUGAUACUUUUGCAGCUGUGGCUACUCGUUGCUGCAUUGCUUGACAAUCGAUAAUUGGCUUACUUUUCUAAGAUGCUUCUUACAUCAAGCAACCCAAUCAUUAAACAUAAUGACCAUAAAUAUCUAAAUAACUUGUCCCUAUACGGUUAUCUGUGGGCACUACAAAUGCUAGCUAAACUGAUUUUCUGGCUUUCUACGAUUCUUGUUUUACCACUACAAGUGAUCUUGUUUAGAACCCUUUAUUCUGAUGAGAUAUAAGAGAGCAUCAACUCACUUGUCAAACCAAGAUCUUGCUAAAAGUAGUGGAGAACCCCAGCUAAAACAGUUUUAAGCAUUAUUUUGGCUAUAAUGAACACAUCCAGAGAGGGACAGCGCAUCUGCAAUCAUUCUUCUUUCUCUUAUGGUCACUAUCAUCAAUAUUGUUAUUAAAGGAUGAGUUGUUUCCUUUUUGAAAUAACUCGCUUGUAUAGAUAAGAAAAAUAUAUCUUAAUUAAGCACUAUUAGGGAAAAAAGCACAAGCUAAAACUUACCUUCUGACAGCACAAUAGGAAUAUGCAAAAUUCAAAAGCAACGGCUAUUUUUAUCAUUACCAUUAUGAUGUAGAUUCUGGCAAGUAUUAUUGAGGAAUAUUGGCCCCCUUUAUAGAAUGGUCACGCAUAUAGAAUAAAGGAUGAAACUUUGUCUGAGGUUCAUCUUGUCUGGUUAAAAAUGGUGAUUAGGAUUCCUCCUUAUCAAAUCCUAUGUCAACACUCGAGCUUCUGCGCUUAGGUGGAAUCAGCUACAGUUUCCAUGUCAGCAUUCACGGUCCCAAUAACUGGUCAAGCGACUUCAACUCAUUGUCAAUCUCGGAUUACUCUUGAUUUGCUUCACUAUGAAAACCAUGUUAUGUGUUUGUAUGAGAGGCCUGGAUUUUUUUCUGUGACUCAUCAAUGACCAUAGAUUGUGUAAUAUUCACUCAUUUCUUGCCACUUAUAACUGUGCGGAGAGUUUGUCAAUUCUUGGAUCUUUGCUUGAAAACUCUUACCAAUGCAUAAUAAACUAUCCCUUUAGUAAGGGAGUUCAGAUAUUAGCAUUCUCCUUUUAUGGCUUUUGAACCAAGGAAAAGUUAUAGUAUAACCUUACAAUCCUUUUCCUUUUAUGAAAAGAGAGAGAUCACUAAACUGAUUAUUGUCAAAGAUGGUUAACCUUAUAACUUAUCAUAAAAACAAUUACAGGGCUUCAAAGUCAUAAAGUUCAAAUCUUGUGCCAUGCAUCACAUUCAGAAUCUUCAGAGAAUUGAUGAAAAACAAAGGUAAACGUCGUGUGAUUGUAUACCUUAAUACAUUGUCUCAGGUACCAGUCAAGAAAGAGGUAUUUCUCUUAAAAUUGAUAUAUUAAAUACUGUCAGGAAUAACGCAACUCUCAUGUUUUGUUCCGAAUUAAUGUAUCACCUGUCUGUACCGAUAAAAGCUGUUAACAUUCUUAGCAAUCUAUUUGGUGAAACUAAGGACUGGUCUGAUAAUAUCUAGAGUGCUCUGAUUUCUAACACAUGCAUGACUAAACAGGAGAUGAAAAGAAGUCCACUUUUGAAUUAUUAAGAAGAAUAUUACACAAUAAGAAUAAUAGGACUUGAAUUUGCAUUAUGAGGGAAUUGAUUCCUUGGUGGUAAACUUUGUCACAGUUUUUGCCCCUUUAGAACCUGAACCAUUUUCCACCUGAACGACGUUAGCCUUCGUGUCAGGCAGUUGCUUGCAUUGGCAAUGUGGAUUACACACACUAAUCUAAUGUGUAAGCGUGAGAAUCCAAAUCAUCUCAAGGGUCCAUCUAUCUUAGCAAGAUCACGCGGUAAAAUAACCCCACCUUUCACAUAACAUCUUCCCCUCAUAACACCUACUAGAAAUGGAUACAGAACAAAGAAUAAUAUUUUGAGGAGCUCCUUUUUAGUAGAAUAAUGGACAGUCGAACAGGUAAGGAGGGGCAUUAUUGGACUUCUGCAAGAAAAUAUGCUUCACAUGCAUGAAUAUGACAGUCGACAACUUUAGAGAGCCAUACCUCUACAGUCAAUAAGGAAGGAAAGUAGUUGGUUUAUCCAACUCUUUUUUGGAAAAUUUGCGCUAUCUUGUGGAAUCUCAUUUAAGGAAACUGUUUGAAGUCACAAAACAGAUCAAAAAGUAAACUUUGGGCCCCAAACAAUGAGGUCUUCCAACUAUAUAUACCUCCCCAAACCAUUCAUCAAAAUUACCACUUACAGCAAACCAUUUCUUGAGCUUCAAGUUUACGUCUAGUUGAGAAGUUCAAGUCUUCAAAUUAUCAAGGUGAGGCAUCGAUGAUUUAGUUUCCUUUUGUGGUUCAUUUCAUUAUUCUUCCAGCUUCUACACAAAAAAGGAAGAAAAAUACAAUAACUUUAGUCUUGAGUCCAAGUUUUUCAAACAAACUAGGCCCUUAAAUACAAGAUUAAUGUGCUGCGAAAUUUUUUCCUAGAAUGAAAUAACUGUUCAUGUGUAAGCAAUGCAGUUCUAGCAUAUAGAACUGAGACCUUGUUGACUAUAACCAUGUAUAGAAUGAGGCCUCAAAGAUGGAUAACCAAUAAGAUUUAAUGGCCUAUUUUACUUCCCAUAUGAAAAUUUGUUCUCAUCAUAUUUUCAAGUUCAAUUUCAGGUAGACAUAAAAUGAGCAGUGGAGAUUGGAUGUGUGCUGCAUGCCAACACAUAAAUUUCAAGAAACGGGAUGCAUGCCAACGAUGCAGCUGUCCUAAAUAUGCAACGCCGGCUGAUGUUGCCAUGUAUGGACUAAACAAAGCAGAAGUCUUAGCUGGAGACUGGUAUUGCAGUGCGAUGAACUGUGGUUCUCACAACUAUGCGAGUCGAACAAACUGCUAUAGAUGUGGUGCCUUAAGAAGUGAUUAUUACGCUGUUGGGGCAGGAGUGAUGGCAUCAGCAGGUUAUGGAUAUGAUGCAAGUGCUAUUCCUGGUUGGAAGAGUGGUGAUUGGAUUUGCAGCAGGUCAGUUCAUAUUUACACAUUUCAUUUCCCAUGCAGUUCACUUACUCUAUAACAAUAACUACGCCUCAAUCCCGAGCAAGAUAGGCUUAACUGUAUGAAUCCUAAAGGUUAAUGUCUCUCCUUUUAAUCUCAUCUCUGUCCAAUACUGCAACAACACCAUCACUACUGUCCAAUAUCGCUCUAGUUAAACUCAUCUCAAACCAACAAUAUACAAAAUAAAAUUAAAAAAUACUAGAAGUUUACUAUAUUUUCUACUGGCAUAUAAAUCUCUGAUAAGACUAGGACUCCUAGAAAACAUUGUAUUAUGAGGAAUCAUCACAAGAUUGACUAGUUUUACGCUAACUGUUAGCCUGCCGCAAUUCUCCUCCUUUUACUACUGAUAUGUGCAGGUGACAUACUAUAGUUGGGAUUUUAACUAACAUAACUUCCUUGAUCGACAGAAUUGGAUGUGGUAUGCACAACUAUGCAAGCAGAGAAGAAUGUUAUAAAUGCAAGACACCUAGGGAUUUUUGUGAGACAUCUUCCAUGCGAUUCUGAUACUUCCUAUCAAUAUUUUACUUUCCAACACCAUUGUUUAUUUACUAACAUCUGUUAAUUUCUCUGUUUUUUAGGAGGUGAUCUGAGAGAAAGUGGAUUAUAUUGAGGGAUGCGGCGACAUUAAGUUAUUACUGAAGAUUUACCAGAAAUCAUAACCUUCAAUGACCUUUCUUCUUUUCCUUUUAGUUUUUCUUUUCUUGUUUAGUAGUUUCCUUGUAGUUGCUCAAAGAAGGGUUUGUAAGUCUAACUGCAUUGUAACUUUACAAAGUGUUCAAUGAAUGAAAUCCCUUCAGAUUUCGCAUUCUUUCUGUCUUUCAAGUUUCAACAACUGCAUUUGUAGGGGUGGUCCAAUAAAAUAAUUUUAUGUAUCCAAUGGAAGGAAUUGCUAGCGUAGGCUCGGGCCUUAUAUGUGUAAGAAAAGAAUAAAAGAAAGUAUAUAUAUAAAGAACCAGACCUACUGACUCUAAAUCCUAAAUACAGUGCUGUGGACUGUGGCUAGUGGCUUAGGUGAGUCUUCCCAACUUACUUUAAACAACACUUGUCACACCUCCUUUUUCUCGAUAGGGAUAGGGGAUAGGGGAUAAGGGAGUUUUUUUCAAUUUAAGUGACAUUAUUCGAAUUGAGAUUAUUUUUAUUUUUUUCAAAGUCGUCACUUGGAAUAUUUAGGGUGUUCCAAGUCACCGGUUUAUUUUAAAUCCCAAAUCGAGAAAAUUUGACUCGGUUUAUGUUCCGCAAACACAGAAGACCAGGUAAGGAAUUUUGUUAAUCCGAGAAAAGGUGCCAGACACUCGCGAAUUUCAUGAUUUUAGCACGGUCGCUUUAAUCAUACCUGGUUUAAUUAGAUUGUUUUAUCACGUAUUUUAAAACCUAAGUGCAUUUUACCUUUUACCGCUUUUAAUUAUGGCGUUUAUGGAUUUAAUCUUUGAAACAGACUACAUGUGUGUAAGUCUGCUUCGUUUGGGGCACUAAAAUCAUGUCACGCGAACGUGUACACAAUUAAUUGUGCUUUAUUAAUUUAAGAUUGUUUGGUCGAAGUUGCGCGAACGCAUACCUCGAUUUAAUUUUGGAUAUCGGGAUCACGUCACGCGGACAUGUACGCAUUCACGAUAGUAGUUUAAAAUCCGUGCCUAAAGCAUUUCUACGAGUGUUUAAUUAAGUCAUUUUAUUUACUAAGAUUGUUUGACCAUGAUCACACGAACAUGUACCUUGGUUUGUUUUUGGCAUCACAACUAUGUCACGCGUGCGUGUACAUGAUUGUAAUAAUUAAGUUGAUUAUAAAUACCUUGAGUUAUGCUUAUGUCUCUAAACUAAAUAUUCUAUGUCAUAUGGCUAAGUGUAAAGGUUUAAUACUAGGUGAUAUGUUUGUUUGUAUUAGAUGGGGGCAGCCUAUGUAUUAUCUGUCAAACAGGCCCAGAUUUAAAGUUUGAGGCCCGAUGAGGAUUGAGUCCAAAUGAACUUUAGCCCAAGACAUAUAUUUUCGUUAUUGGGCUUAGCUAAUGGAUUCAGUUCAAAAGGAUUUGGGCUUGUUUGAGUCUAAUUGACUGCCCAAUGCAUAUUUUAAGGCAGCUAAAUGAAUUCAAUCCAAACGAUUUGGGCCUAGUGAUCAUGGAGUCCAAAUGACUCUGGCCCAAUACCAUGUUGUUAAGCAAUCAAUCAAUUAAACACAUUUAAUUCAGAAAGAUCUAGGGCUAAUGAUGAGUCCAAAUGACUGUGACUUAAUGUUCAAUUUUAUAGACAACUAAAUGAAAUUAACUAAAGGCAUUUGGGCUUGGUGAUAAUGAGCCCAUGUGACUUUGGCACAACUCAAUGUUAUUAAGCAUUCAGUCAAUUAAACACAUUUAAUUCAGAAAGAUCUGGGCCUGAUGAUGAGUCCAAAUGACUCUGGCCCAAUGUUCAUUUUUAUGGACAACUAAAUAAAAUUAACUAAAGAUAUUUGGGCCUGGUGAUAAUGAGUCCAUGUGACUCUGGCCCAGUGCAUAAUUGUGUGAAUGAGUUUGAAAUUAAAAUUUAUAACAACAAUUAUCAGAUUUUACUUAUAUUUUGUUUAUCUUUUAAAACAGAAAACUAAAAAGGGUCUGGGGACACGAACCAAAAUUAAAAUUGGAUAAUUUCCUAUUAAUUGCUUAAAUCUCCUAUUUCUUAUAUUAACUUAUGUUAAAGUGAUAAGUUUUAAAACUCAUUUGCAUUUGAAAAUCUUAAAGUGUAAAGGCCUUUAAUCAACUCAUUUUUAUUAGCCAAAGACCCAGAAUACAAUCUUAUGGACCCAAUUGAUUUGGGCCUGAAUUCGUACCUUGAUUACUGUUAGGUUGCUUGUAAAAUCCAGCUUUUUAUGAUUUUAAACUAAUAGCAUUGGAAUUAGUAUAUUUUAAUUGUUUAAUAACAUAGUAAAGCUACUAACUAACGCAUUGCAUGAGAGGAUAUAAUAUAAAACAAAAUUAAAUUAUUACAUCUCACUAACAUGGACAGUGAUAACAAAUCUGUCUACUACUAAUCUAACAAAUUUUCUAGAAAAAAGAAAGAUUUUCUCUUUUUAACUAUUCGAACGUACCAAUCUUAUGACUAUAUGAAGCUUUAAACAGAUUUUAUAAUUUUUUCAGAACCCUUUAAAAUGAAGCUAAUAUAACUUAAAUUGCCUAAAACAGUGUAAAUAAUUAACUCUACAUGCUUUCAUACACAACUCUCAACCAAACAACUUCAAACAAUAUGAUUCAUGCAGUGCUCAGAUGAAGUAGAAAUUCUUGAUAACCAGCAAAAAUAAAACUUUACAUUGUUAAAAGAAAAUACCUUGAUAGCAGCAAGCAAACUACAGAUAAGAAAAUAAGUAUCUGAAAGCUUGAAGUAAAACAGCAGCAAUAAAACCCAAUAGAAUAAGAAGACGACCAGAUUUUUAAAAAUAGGAAAGGAAUGUAUAUUUUUGAUUCUCAAAGAUCAAGGUUGAUUUUCAAAAGUUUUUCUUUUGAAAGAGAGCAAAAUCUUAAGGCAGUCUAUAUGUGUCCAUAAUGUGUCUUCAUAUCCUUUUCUAAUGAAGAAAGAGGAGUGUAUUAUAUAGAGUGAGAGAGUGAAAAGGGAUGAGAAUUAGGUACAAAAGAAUCUGCUAGAAUUCCUUAUAAAUUAGGAAAAUGACAUCUUUCUUAACAGAAAUGGACAGUUGUCCAAUUUUUAGUACCUUUCUUAUCUCAGAAAAGGGACAAGUGUCUAAUUUUUGGAUAUUUUUGAAUCUUAUCCCUAUUUUCCUACUCAACAUUGGGACAGUUGUCCCUAUUCUAGAAGUUUCUAAUAUUUUCUAAAUAAUUUUCAGAAUUAGGAUUCCAAAACUGACCCUUAAGGGUCUUGGAAUUACCUCAGAACCAGAUUGGUUCUGGGCCUGAGUCGGGUGACUCUCGGCCGAAGGACUUUAGGAUCUUAAGCUUUUACAAAGUUAUGGGCCUGUCUAAAUAGACAGGCCCAAUUUAUGAGCCAAAUAGAACAAGUCACUUCAGUGAGGCCCAGUUCUUAACCAAACCAAAUAACAGUAAAAAUAAAUAAAAAAGAACGAAAAUUAAUUUAAUAAAAAUAAAUANNNNNNNNNNNNNNNNNNNNNNNNNNNNNNNNNNNNNNNNNNNNNNNNNNNNNNNNNNNNNNNNNNNNNNNNNNNNNNNNNNNNNNNNNNNNNNNNNNNNNNNNGACUCCCAUCUGGGAUCUGAAAUCCUUGAUGGGAGAUCUUGGCAGGAGGAUUAUUAAACGGACUAGGUUGGAUUUAGGGUUUUGAAAAAUAAAUCUAGGGUUUUGGAGACCCUAGAUCUAAGAUCUAUGAUUAUUGGUGGGGUUUUGGGAGAUUUGGUUGGUAAGGUGAGGUUUAGGGAGGUGAGGAGAGUGUAUAGGGUAAGUUUGGGUGGCUUUGGAGGUCCACCGCCGCCGUAGGGUGAUUUCCGACGGCGGCGUGGGAGGAGCGUUUUGGGGAGGCUAGGGUUUGGUUAGAGAGAGGUGAGAGACGGAGUCGUCUCUAGGGUUAGAGAGAGAGAUGUGAGAGAGGGGGGAGACGAAAUGAGGGGGUAGGAGAGGGUUUGGACACUUAUAUAUUAAGUGACAGGCGAGUUCCGAGCCGUUGGAUCUUGUGAAGAUCAACGACCAGGAUCGCCUGGCAUUUAGACGACGUCGUUUGGAUUAGUAUAGGGCUGGGCAGAUUCUGGGUAUUGGGCUCGGGUAUUUUGGGCUAAGUUUUGGGGAUUGUGCUAGGUUUUACACUGGCCCAGUCCGAUUUUAGGCUAAUUAAACUCUAUUUUAUUUAAUUAACUUUUAAAAAUCUAUUUAAUUUAAACAAAUCCUAAAUUAAGUGCUAAAUUAUCUUAAUUUAUAAAAUUAAACCAACUAUCUAUUUGUAUUAUUUACAUAAUUAGUUAAUCUUCAAUUAUUAAACGAAAAAAUUACUAAUUUUAACACUAAAACUAAAAAUGUCAAAAAUAAAACAUUUUAUGUGAUUUUCUUCUAAUAAUAUGAUCAAAUUAUGUAAUUAAAUACUAAAUUUAAUUAAAACCUAAUAAUGCUAUAUGAUGAGGAUUUAAAUAUUUUUGUUGUUUUCUAUGAUUUCAAAAAUGCUAAAAAUAGAUGAGAAAUGCAACUAAAUGCAAAUAAUUUCUAAUAAUUAACAAAAAUCCUAACAAGAAAUCUAAAAAAAAUAAAUAUGAAUAAUUUAUUUAUUAAUUUUGUAGGAGUAUUUUGGUAGGGUAAAAAUUACAUGCUCACAGAUGUCCCUCUUUGCUCGGAAACACGAAGAGUUUUCGGGCAAAGACAAAGUGAGCAUUCAUGGACCAAUUUUACCCGUUUUGAUACUCCAUGGGAAACGUUUUGAAAAUGUUUGACCGAACCUUGCUUCAAAGAUUGCCUACAUAUCCUUGGCUAUAAAGGAAUCAGGUUAGUGUAGUUCUGAAGGUUUUGGUAGCUGGGACUACCGGAAAACUAUGAUUUCACUACUGUUGUUGCUGUUACUGUUGUUGAACUCCUUAUUACACCAAAGUAAAAAAUGAAGAAAGCUAACUAAGUCUAUCAACUACGAGUUACAAGAUUCCUAUCUGUAAAUUUUUUGAAGUUUUGACUUGAGUCUUGGCUGGCUCUUUAUGCAGACUCUAAUCUGAAUCUUUGGAAAGUCAUCAGGUUAUGCUAGCAUCAUCAACUAGGGAGUGGAGACCCUAUGUUGGAAAGUCAUCAGGUUAUGCUGGCAUCAACUAGGGAGUGGAGACCCUAUGUUGGAAAGUCAUCAGGUUAUGCCGGCAUCAACUAGGGAGUGGGACCCUAUGUUGGAAAGUCAUCAGGUUAUGCUAGCAUCAACUAGGGAGUGGAGACCCUAUGUUGGAAAGUCAUCAGGUUAUGCUGGCAUCAACUAUGGAGUGGGACCCUAUGUUGGAAAGUCAUCAGGUUAUGUUGGCAUCAACUAGGGAGUGGAGACCCUAUGUUGGAAAGUCAUCAGGUUAUGUUGGCAUCAACUAGGGAGUGGAGACCCUAUGUUGGAAAGUCAUCAGGUUAUGUUGGCAUCAACUACGGAGUGGAGACCCUAUGUUGGAAAGUCAUCAGGUUAUGCUUGCAUCAACUAGGGAGUGGAACCCUAUGUUGGAAAGUCAUCAGGUUAUGCUGGCAUCAACUGGGGAGUGAGACCCUAUGUUGGAAAGUCAUCAGGUUAUGCUGGCAUCAUCAACUAGGGAGUGGAGACCCUAUGUUGGAAAGUCAUCAGGUUAUGCUGGCAUCAACUAGGGAGUGGAAGCCUAUGUUGGAAAGUCAUCAGGUUAUGCUGGCAUCAACUGGGGAGUGAGACCCUAUGUUGGAAAGUCAUCAGGUUAUGCUGGCAUCAACUAGGGAGUGGAGACCCUAUGUUGGAAAGUCAUCAGGUUAUGCUGGUAUCAACUAGAGAGUGGGGACCCUAUGUUGGAAAAGACGCAGCUGGGGAUCAGAGACCGUAGCUUUGAAUUAUUUUCAACAUUAUUUCUUCUUUUCUUCUUUUAUUUUUCAGAGGAUGAGUGAAUGCGGGAAAGAACUUUGGGGAAGACUUCCCUUUUGAAGUUGUUGUUGCAAAGCUUGUUUCCAGCCCUUGCGCAGUUUUCCUUUUGGUUGCCCCUACUUUUUGCAAGGUUGCUUUCGGGUUUCACCUGUUUCCUGUUUUCUUCAACAAAGAACAAUUUGUCAGUUUGAAACGGUGGUUGGUUUUGUGGCCUUGAUUUUUGGUCACUCGAUCUUGGCCCGUCUUUUGGACGAAGAUUUUGAUUGCUUGCUGGCUCACUGGGGAUUGGUUUCAUUUCUAACCCUGGAGAUCUUGACUUUUCCAAAAUCUUACCAAGACGGUUAAUCACGUGGGACUUAACCUUCGUUAACUUUAUUUUUCCCUUGUGGCACUUUGACUUUAAUCCCUUUCCUUUUGGGAAUUCUUGAUUUCGAAGCAUCAGCUAUCAUGGCCGGUCGAGGUCGACUCGAUGUACCUGCCGAGGCUGGACGCUUUUUGCAUACUAGCUUGUAUCAAAUGAGAACCUUAUAGAUCGGUCUUUCCAUCCUUUUUUUGUCUCAAUUUAGAAUAGAAUUAGACCAAAAGGGAUUGAAAGAAAAUAAACAACGGAAUGGAUAAAUGAAUUUAGACAAGAGGUAUCCCUUUCGAGGAAAGGAAAGAAGGACUUAUCUGGAGUGUAUGCGGACUUCAAUGAAAAUGACAUGCCUCUUGGACUGGAUGCCCGAUCUGUGCGAACCGUCCAACUCUCAGAAAUCCACCAUAACUUAUACCUCAAGAUUGAGAAACCUUGCCCAGGACUAUGUCUAUGUCAGCGACCAAUUAUCCUUUUUUCGAUCAGUGGUGCCCUUUGCGGGUUUUCACCAGCUAACCUCUCUCAUUUCUCUUCUCACCAUCGCCUUGUAGUACUCUUUGUGAGUUUUCACUAACGAGGCUCUCUCAUUUUCAAUUUCUUUGCUUACCAUCGCCUCAUGGUGCCCGUAUGGGUUUUCACCGAUAAGACUCUCUCAUUUUAUUUCUCUCGUUUGGUUGUAUCAGAUCUGAGUAACUGUAUCCUCCAAUUUAGGACAUCUUUACCGAUUGAUCGGAAGGACUUGAAUAGGAUUUGGGAAGAAUUUGAAUUGAAUUACAACUUUGGAACCUUUCAGGCAAAAGCGUCGCCAAACCAUUAUAAAUUCUGCCCCAGUUUCAUCUUCGGGGAAAUUUGGAUUUUUAUUUUGGUGUGACUAAACCCCAGAGUAAGGCUGCCUACGUAUCCUUUCGGAAUCAAGUCGAAUGUAGUUCAAGGAAAUAUUUUGUUUUUGUUUCGUUUUUGUUUUGAUUGAUUGAUUUGAUUUUUUUUAUUUUUUACUUUUUUAAUAAUUGAACUUUCAGGUUCCAAGGAGGGUGAUCAAAGAAGAGUAACCGGCUCAAAGGGUUUACAAAAAAUUGAUAGUGUUUGGGUAGCGAGAAUGAAAGCCUUAGUCAUCCCAACUGGAGAGUGUUAAGACCUUGAAAGGGAUUAAACAUAAUACCUUUUGACCGCAUCCGCAUUGACAGCUGUUUUGGGGUCAUUUCCUUCAAUAUCUCCCAAGUACAAUGCACCUUUUGGCAGCAGUUUUCUUAUAAUGUAUGGACCUUUCCAAUUCGGAGCAAACUUGCCUUUUGCUUCUUCAUGAUGCGGGAGAAUACGUCUUAGAACGAGUUGCCCCACUAUGAAGUUUCUAGGCUGCACUUUCUUGUUGUAAGCACGAGCCAUUCUUUGUUGGUAUAACUGCCCGCGACAAACUGUGGCCACUCGCUUUUCGUCAAUCAUAGUUAAUUGUUCCAGCCGAAUCUUGACCCAUUCAUCAUCCUCGAUCUCAGCUUCAACAAUGAUUCGAAAAGAGGGAAUUUCAACUUCUACAGGUAUUACAGCUUCAGUGCCAUAGACCAAUAAGUAAGGCGUGGCCCCAACCGAUGUGCGCACGAUUGUGUGAUAUCCUAAUAAUGCGAAAGGAAGCUUCUCAUACCGUUGCCUAGAACUUUGGAUCAUUUUCCUGAGGAUCUUCUUGAUGUUUUUGUUUGCUGCUUCAACGACACCAUUGGCUUUAGGUCGGUAAGGGGUAGAAUUACGAUGCGUAAUUUUAAACUGUUCGCAUACCUCCCUCAUCAAAUGACUGUUCAGAUUUGCGGCGUUGUUAGUAAUGAUAGUUUUCGGAAUACCAAAGCGACAGAUAAUGUUGGAAUGUACGAAGUCCACCAUUACUUUCUUGGUGAUGGCUUUAAAAGUGACCGCUUUGACCCAUUUUGUGAAGUAAUCAAUGGCAAUCAAGAUGAAUCUGUGCCCAUUUAAGGCUUUCGGCUCGAUCGGCCUAAUGACAUCCAUACCCCAAGUAACAAACGGCCAAGGUGCUGACAUAGGAUGCAACUCUGAAGGAGGUGCAUGAAUCAGGUCACCGUGUAUCUGACACUGAUGGCACUUCUGGACAAAACUGAAGCAAUCCUUUUCCAUGGUCAUCCAGUAAUAACCUACCCGCAGGAUUUUUUUGCCAGGACAUAUCCAUUCAUGUGGGGCCCGCAUACUCCUGAAUACACUUUGUUCAUGAUCUUUUCUGCUUCUUUGGCAUCUACACACCUUAAAAGAUUCAGAUAUGGAGUUCUCUUAUACAACACUUCUCUACUUAAGAAGAAACUGCUGGCAAGCCUUCUAAUGGUUCUCUUUUGGUCUCUAUUGGCCUACUCAGGGUAUUCCUUUGUUUUCAAGAACCUUUUAAUAUCAUGAUACCAUGGUUGGACAUCUGAUUCUACUUCAACCGUGUUGCAAUAACCAUGUCUUUCUCGGAUUUGAAUCUCCAACGGGUCAAUAUGGACAUUGCCCGAAUAUGGCAGCAUUGCAGCUAAGGUAGCUAAUGCGUCCGCUAACUCAUUGUGAAAUUGAGGAAUAUACCUGAAUUCAAAGGAUUUGAACCAUUUGCUAAGAUCUUCCACAUGCUGUCUAUAUGGGAUAAGCUUGAUAUCUCGAGUUUCCCAUUUGCCUUGUGCUUGCCGAAUGAUCGAAUCAGAAUCUCACAUGAUUAAUAAUUCUUCUAUAUCCAUCUCAAUUGCCAUGUUCAUGCCCAUGAUACAAGUUUCGUAUUAAGCGGUGUUAUUCGUACAGAAGAACCGAAGCCAGGUUCUGGCCGGAUAGUGCUGACCAGUAGGCAAAAUCAAAAUUGCCCCAAUCCCGACACCUUUUGUAUUUACAGCUUCAUCAAAGAACAUUUUCCAAGCAUUUGUGUGCUCUAGAAUUAUUUCAACUGAGUUUACUUCCUCAUCCGGAAAGUAAGUGCUUAGGGGUUGGUAUUCAUCAUCAACCUGGUUCUCAGCUAAAUGAUCGGCUAAGGCUUGGGCUUUCAUGGCUGUGUGGGUGACAUAGACAAUGUCAAACUCAGUGAGCAGGAUCUGCCAUUUUGCCAACCUUCCCGUAGGCAUUGGUUUCUGGAAUAUGUACUUCAGGGGAUCCAUUCUGGUUAUGAGAUAUGUGGUAUAAGCCAACAAAUAAUGUCUAAGCUUUUGAGCGACCCAAGUUAAAGCACAACAAGUUCUUUCCAACAAAGUGUACUUGGCUUCAUAACCAGUAAAUUUCUUUCUCAAAUAGUAUAUGGCUUGAUCUUUCUUCCCGGUCGCAUCAUGUUGUCCGAGGACACAACCAAAAGAAUUCUCUAGAACAAUUUAAGUACAAGAUCAAAGGUCUUCCAGGCUCAGCGGAACCAACACCGGCGGAUUUGACAAAUAUUCUUUGAUUUUGUCAAAAGCUUCUUGACACUCAUCCGUCCUUUUAUUCGUUGCGUCUUUCUUUAGCAGCUUAAAUAUGGGCUCACACGUGGUAGUAAGCUGAGCGAUAAACCUACUGAUAUAAUUCAACCUUCCCAGCAAGUUCAUGAACUCUUUCUUGGUUUUCGGAGGUGGCAGAUCUCGGAUAUAUUUUAUCUUUGUUGGAUCCAACUCAAUACCCCUCCGACUGACUAUAAACCCCAAAAGCUUCCCAAAUGGAACUCCAAAUGCACAUUUUAUCCAGAUUCAAUUUCAAAUCAUACCUGCACAGGCACUCAAAGAACUUUCUCAAAUCCUUCACAUGGUCUCCCUGCAUUUUGGACUUAAUGAUCACGUCAUCCACAUACACCUCAAUUUCCCGGUGCAUCGGUUCAUGGAAAAUGGCAGUCAUAGCCCUCAUGUAAGUUAUCCCGGCAUUCUUCAGACUGAAUGGCAUGACCCUGUAAUAGUAAGUCCCCCAUGGUGUGGUGAAAGCUGUCUUUUAUGCAUCUUUUUCAUCCAUCAGGACUUGGUGAUACCCAGCAUAACAAUCCACAAAAGAUUGUAUCUCAUGUUUGGCACAAUUGUCGAUAAGAAUGUGGAUGUUUGGUAACGGGAAGUUGUCCUUGGGGCUUGCUUUGUUCAAAUCCCUGUAAUCAACACAUACUCGGAUCUUCCCGUCCUUCUUUGGUACUGGGACUAUAUUGGCCAACCAUGUGGUGUAUCAGACUACUCGGAUCAUUAAUCUUAUCGCAACUUCUUCUUUAAUCUUAUCGCUGAUAACUAUUUUGAACUUUAUUUACUUUUAUUGGAUAGGUGGACAACCGGGAUAAGUUGGCAACUUGUGUACCACUAGAUCGACACUUAGCCUUGGCAUAUCGUCACAAGACCAUGCAAACACGUCUUUAAAUUCAAACAAAAGUUGGAUCAAUGCAUCUCUAAUUUUUUCCUCGGAUUGAAUACUUAUCAUGGUCUCCUUGACCUCUUCUGAACUGCCCAAAUUAACUGGCUUGGUUUUAUUUAGGUUUGGCUUAGGCGUAUUCUCAAAUUGUUCCAAUUCUCGAUUUAUUUUGCUAAAAGCCUCAUCUUCAUCAUAUUUUGGUUCUUGAUUCAUUAUUUCACAGUUAGACAGUGUUUUUGGAUCUGGGCAUGAAGUCUGCAACCAUGUCAUGUUAUUUAAGUCCGCAUUAUUAGAACUAAAAAGAGAAAGAAAAGAAAAAUAGCAAAAUUAGAAAGAAUAACAGGGAAAGAUUCACAGACGAUGAAAUAUUGAUUUCAUUUCAUUGAAUUUGAAGAUAGGAUGGUUUACAUCGGAAUUUAAAAAGACAACAAAACUAAAAGCAUUCGAGUUACACCCUGAAAUAACUCGGAAUGUAGAAAAGAUGGCAAGACUAAACUACCGGGAUUCCCACCUGACUGGGAAUGGAGUAGCCUACCAGUUUUGCAAUUUAGCAUUGGUCCACAGGUAUUGCACACAGCAGUGCUCGAGCCUUCGCCCGGUUGGACCAAGUGGACUUCGUAGAUAAUUUUCCUCAUUGCUUCACAUCCUCAACUUCAUCGGCCGUGAAGGCCUCUUCUUCUUCUUCUAUAUAUCUUGGCUUAACAAAUGAUUUGGCGAGGUGCGGGAUUAGCUGAGGCAAAACCCACCCAUCUUUCUUACAUUUAUCGGCCCAUUUUUCAUCGGCAUCGGUGGCUUGGAAACCUAUGCCAAAGAAUUUCUUAUUGGCAGCCAAGGUGACGGGUUCUGUGAUGCCCUGUAAGGAUACCCCGAGCCCUUUUCCAGGCUUGUACCCAUGUUUGAUCAUUUUGCUAGCGACCAUGAUUGAUGCGCUUGAUAACAAGGUUGAGGACAUGGGGUUCCUUCCUCGCACUGGUCGGCGAGCACAAUUUCAAAGGCUUGGUAGACGAUGUGUUCGCUUCCCUCUCUUGCCUCGAGGUAUGUGACUGAGGAUCCCUGUAGAUUGACUGUUCAUCUUCUCUAUGGACCACUAUUUCUUGGUUCUCAUGUUCGAACUUGACCAUUUGAUGGAGAGUAGAGAGCAAGACUUCUGCUGCAUGGAUCUAUGGUCUUCCUAACAGAAAGUUAUAGGAAGUGUCCAUGUCCAGAACUUGGAAUGUUACUUCAAAAUCUACGGGCCAAUGGUUAGGAUUAAGUCAAUCUCCCUUAUCGUGUCCCUCUUGACACCAUCGAAAGCACGCACGCAAACAUUGUUUGGUUUGAUCUUUUCAGUCCCAAUUUUCAUCCUCUGCAAUGUUGAUAGAGGGCAAAUAUCGACUUUGGACCCGCCGUCCAAUAUGAUCCUUUUCACAUAAUAUCCCUCACACUUGAAAGUCAAGUGAAGGGCAUUGUUGUGGGCGGCUCCUUCAGGAGGCAAGUCUUUUCGGCUAAAGGAGAUUCGGUUGACCUCAAAAAAUCGCUCUGCCAUUCAUUCUAACUGUUCAACUGUGGUCUCAAUUGGAACAUACACCUCAUUUAGCGUCUUUAGAAGCACCUUUUGGUGUUCGUUUGAGCUCAUCAGUAGAGACAAGAGUGAAACCUGGGAGGGGGCUUUUCUCAGUUCAUCAAUUACAGCAUACUCCGAGGCUUUCAUCUUCCGUAAGAAUUACUCCGCUUCUUCAGAAAUUACAGGCUUUUUGAGGGGGAAAUGCUUCUGCUUGGUUUUGUUCAAUUCUUCUGGGUUAUGAUACUUCCCAGAUUAGUUUGUUUCAUUAACUUCCCCUUUAAAUUCCUUCCCUUUAUAUGUGACAAUUAUCUUAUUGUAGUUCCAAGGGACGACAAUGGUGUCUUUUAUGGGAUUUUGUGGCAUGCGGCUAAUGGUUAAAGGCUCAUCCAGCCUAGGUGGAAUGACUGGCCUCCGUGCCACGUAAGUCCCUUUUGGUACAUACAUUUUUGGUAGAUUUGGUAUGGUUUUCCUCUGCUUUAAUCUCUUGGGAGGGCUUAAAAUGAGUUGUCCCUUUCUGGGGGCUCUUGGGACGUAGAGAAUGGCCUUUGGCAGGUGUUGCCCCUGUCUUUGCUUCCCCGUCCUUUUCUUUAUUUUGGGGAGUGGAAUUCAUCUUUUUCUCAUCCCUGACCUGUUUUGCCACUGCUUUAGUUUUCUUCUCUGAAUCAGCAAUGGCAAUAAUCGCUUUUAAUGCGGGGUCGAAUUCUUUGUCUUCACAGAUCAUCCCGAUGACCGGCCUGUUGUUGUGGGCCGGUAACGGGUUGUUAGUUACAUUAGGGACUUCCUCGUCCCUUAACACUACCCGCUUUUGUUCUAUCAGAUUCUCGACUGCUCUCUUAAGGGUCCAACAAUCUUCAGUGUCAUGCCCUUCCGUCCCUGAGUGGUAAGCGCACCUGGUACUUCGCCUGUAGGAUGGAGAUUCCGGGUUCUGUCUGUUCAGAGGUACAGGCUGUAACAUGCCUAUUUGGUCUAAUUUUGGGAAGAGGCUGGAGUAAGAUUCACCGAUGGGGGUGAAGUCAGUUUUCCUGGGUGGUUCACGGGGAAGGGUGUUAUAUUGGUAAUUAUUCUGUGGUGGACGGGGAUUAUACGGAGCUUGGUGAGGAGGGUUGUUUCUUGGAGGUAGAGCUCUGUUUUGGUUGUAAUGCUGUUAUGGCCUGGUGUAUGGUUGGGCAUUCAUUACUGCAUAAGGAUGAGGGGCCAUAACAUAGGCUGCAUCCUGGUGGGGGUAAUAAUGUUGCGGGACCCUGGAAGACGGACCGGAAUAAUCCCGGGGUCGCCGAGAAUUUCUUAAGCUUGAAGCCAUCAUAGCUCCCUCUUCUUUUUUCUUUCGGUUGGUCAAACCUCCCGAGCCGCUCUGAAUGGCUUGGGAAGUGGCUCUUAAAGCUGAUUGACUUAAGAUGCGGCCUGUUUUUAGGCCAUUUUCUACCAUUUCUCUAAUUUUAAUGGCCUCCGCGAACGGUUUGACCAUGGCAGAUAUCAUGUUUUGGAAAUAAUCGGCAUCUUAGGCCUUUAAGAAGACACUGACCAUCUCGGUCUCAUCCAUCGGGGGUUUUACCCUGGCCGCUUGUUCACUCCAUUUGAUAGCGUAUUCUCGGAAGCUUUCCAAAGCUUUCUUUUUGAGGUUGGAUAAAAAAUUUCUGUCUGGAGCUAUGUCCACAUUGUAUUGGAAUUGCCUUAUGAAAUCCCGAUCUAGGUCAUCCCAUAUAUGCCAACAGGAGAUGUUUUGGUCCAUAUACCACUCAGAAGCAAUUCAGGUGAGGCUUUCUCCGAAAUAGGCCAUUAAUAGCUCCUCUUUUCCACUGGCACCCCUCAGUUGGUUACAAUAUCGCUUUAAAUGAGCAGUCGGGUCUCCAUGCCCGUCAUAUCUUUUGAACUUUGGUGUUUUGAAGCCGAUGGGUAAAUGCACGUGAGGAAACAUGCACAGAUCCGCAUAUGAAAUGCUCUUCUGGCCACACAGGCCCUGCAUGUUCUUGAGGCUUUGUUCGAUGCUUUUCAUUUUUCGUGCUAUCUCUUCUUGUUCAGGAUUCCUCACGACUUUCUCAUGUUCUACGGGAGACACAAAUUGUGGGUGCUGAGGAUAGGAAUUUGGGGUAACCCGAGUGGUGUCCAAUUGGAAUUGGGGAGCUUGGAAAGUAAAAGUUGAUGGUUCAAAGGUUUGUCAAGGCAGUGUUGGUUGUGCCAUGCUAGAGGCUGGUGGUGCUGUGAACACUAUAGAUGAUAUUGCUGAAGAUGGUGCCUGGGGGCGAACCUCAGAAGGCAUACCAGCGAAGUUGGUUGACAUGGUGGGGUACCCAAACGGGAUGAAUGGGUUGGUCACUGGGAUAGGGACAUUGGUGGUUCCUCCCGUCCUGGGGAGCAAUUCACGAAAUCUAGGGAUAGUACUGGGUGGUUCCCUGCCGUUGGACCAUGCGUCCCAUAUUUCUAGCAUACGACAUCGUAGCCUUAUAUUUUCUUCAGCAGCUGCUGACUCUGACUGCAGGAUAACCGAUACCGGGAUAUCCUCGGGCUCAAUGAUGGGUAGAUGACUUUCUGAGGUCAUGGCCAUACUUCCUUUAGAUCUCAUAAAAUAAGGGUGUGAAGCCAUAUUACCACCACAAAACCAACCACCUAAAAAUAGAACCUGUUCUUUUAGAGCACACACAACAAACCGGUUAGUUUGAGACAUUUAACACAUAGGGAAUUGCAUAUUGGGGGAUGCAAUGCACCUAAACAGUUAAACAUUUUCCUAAAUAUUUUGCAACGGCUGUGUGUUUCAUCCCGGCUUUAUUGUCUCUCUUUUUUUUUCUUAAUUACUUUAUUUAGGGUUAUGAACAAAUCCUACAUGUAUUGCCUACGUAUCAUGACGCCGCAUGAAUCAGAUCAUUAAGUAGUUCAGGGGAUAGGUAUGAAGUAACAAAGCACAUUGUUUUUUUCAUUUCAUUAACAAAGAUAUCUCUUUUAUUUGGUUUUUCAUUACAGGGAAUUAGAGAACUAAUGACUAUAAAGAAAAACAAUACAGACUCAAAAUAAAUGACAAACCAAUUUUGAACAAAACUCUAGAAAGCAGUAAAGUACAGACUCGAAAAUUGGAAAGUCAAAAGUACAUGAGAGCCUCUACUGGUCUUCUUGGAGCCUGUGGGGCAUUAGCUGGUCUUUGCGCGGGCCUUCACGCAAUAUCUUCUUGAAGAUGGUCUAAGUUAUCCAUUGCCUGGUAGACGAAGGUCAUCAUAGAAGCGAAAAACAUGGACCUAGUCAUGUCUUCACACUCAUGACAUUUUAUCACGACAUAAUCAGCUAUCUCCUUAAUCCUGGUUCUGAUAACUCCUUUCUCUUGAAGUAGACGCCCAAUUUGCUACGCCCGAGCCUCCAACACUUGUGCGUUGGUAUUGUUUUGGUCCUGUAGUUGUUGCACGCUUUCUUCUAUUUGGCAAAUUAGUGCGUAGCAGUGCUCCUUUUUGUCUUAAAAUCUUUGGUUUGCUGGACCAUUUCAUUCCCAAGGGAAAAAAACUUUUCCUUUAGAAUUGUUAUUUCUUUGCCAUAUUUUUGUCUCAAAUGGUGGGCCUGUUCUUCUGCUCCUUUGGCCAACUUUGUUUGAGCAUUUAGCAAAUCUUUUUCGGCCUUUAUCAAGUCAGCUGCAUAGUUGUGUACCUUCAUUCUUAAGUUAUUGAUGAUUUUUUCAUCUCUCUCGCUCCUUACAGGAGUUUCGAUGGCUAUCCUCAUGUCCCGGAGUUGGGCUCGGAGCGCCUCGUUCUCUCGGCUCAAUUUUCUCUUUUUACCUUCGGUUACCUGUGCCUGUAAGUCAUUGUCGAAUGCGAGGUUCCUCAACUUUUCCUCUAAGGCAUGGAUGGUGGCUUUAUAUUUCUUUUCCUUUUCUCCCCAGGCCAAACGUUCUCGGACUUUGUCAUCAAAAGCUUGAACAUGAGGCCUCUUGGCGGGCCUUUCUGGCUCGGUCUCCGGUUCCUCAUCAAUGCAAUUCCUUUUUUCGAACCAUGCGGCAUAGCCCAGAUUUACUUCGCCUUUGGCAAGAUCAGGCACUUGGGUGUCCUCUUUUAAGUAUCGACACCCAUUCCAAAUUUGUUGAAUUAAAGCUUCGGGAAGUGGGGCUUCGGGAUGUAGCUCAAUAACUUGGACACUCAAGUCUUCAUCCUCAGGAACUACUUGAUACCUUCCCAAUUGUCUUAGAACCCUUUGCAGCGCAUAUGGUUGGACACUUCUCAAGCCCAUCAAUAGCAAAUAAUUUUUUGUGGCUAUCAUGUAUAUGACUUCCCUCACUGGGAGCCAUCCUAAAGUCCACUCAAUCUGAUUCACCUUUAAAGUUCUUAAGUGGGCGAUCCAAGCUUCAACCCCUUCUAGAGAGUUAUAAUCUUUUACCCUCUCCUCAUAACUCUUAAUGAAGUUGCUCUUGCUUGGGCCGUAACUUAUAAAUUUCGGAUAAUGGCGAAGAUAUUCAAUUAACCACAUUUGUAGAAGGAUAUUGCAACCUUCAAAGAAUGUCGCCCCAGCCUUACACCGGGUUAAUACCUGAUAGAUAUCCGACAAUAUAAGUGGAGCAAGUGUGUGAUCUUCUUUGGCAGUUAGGACUUGUGCAAUUCUAGCCAUACAGAUAUCUAUUGUUCCUUUUUCAUUUGGGAAGACCAUGAUGCCUAGGAGUGCCACUAUGAAAGCAAAGCGACGAUGAGUUUUCCAAGUAUUUUUACUUUGCUUGUUGUUCAACCCCUUUUCAUGCGUUUCAAACCCAUUUGGAUGUCCAUACCUGGAGUACAGGAAGUAGAAAGAGCAACAUCCAUCGUUUACAUUGUUCUUCUUUAUUUGUUUUUUGAUGUUCAAGAUAUCAAAGAACCGACGCAUAGAGGGAGGCCUUAGGAAUAUAAGUUGUUAUUUUCUUAAGUCCCGGCCGAAAUCAAUAUAUCCGGCUAUUUCCUCCAGAAUGGGAGUGAGCUCAAAGUCCGAGAAGUGAAAGACAUUGUGAACGGGAUCCCAGAAGGGCACUAAAGCCUUGAUUAGAUAAUUCUGGGGCUUGACUUUCAUAAUAUCCGUGAGAGCACCCAAAUGUUCUACUACCCAGUCUUGACCAUCUUUACCCAAGUCAUACCAUCACAUUUGAAGCUGCAGUGGAGCCUGCUCUAUAACAUUUAACGGCGGGUUCUGGAAAGUGUUUAUUUUGUACAUGUGAAUGGUUAGGGUUGAUUCUAGUUCAAAAGACAGACUAGCGGAUUCUUUUGCAAAAAUCAGUUCUCAAUUUUUCAAAGGGAAAUCACCUGAAGGUGGCUAUUUGUGCAGCAUUGGCCAAAAUGAUCAUCUUUGCAAUAAUGGCCCCUUCCUACUUUCAAAUAAAAUUUUGAGGCCGGGGUAAGGCACUUUAUGGGAAAAGUGAUGCCUUAUUGACAGACAUGUACGUUCUUGGCGAGAAUAGACCUUCGACAAUUUAAAGGUAUUCUAAGGCUAUUCCGGCAAAAAUGGCGCAGGACUUAGCCAAAGCUGGGUCGGUUUUAUUUUUUGACCAAUGGACAUACUUUAUUUAUUUGGUUAGAAAAUUGGGGUCGACACCGAUGAGGUUUGCCUACGUAUCUCACAUCCGGUGAGAAUCAGGCCCGCAUAGUUCGGUCAGUUUUGACAUCAUUGGAAAAGCAUGAUAUUGACUUACUUUGAAAUGCAUUUUCUUUUUCUCUCUCUUUUUCAAAAUAUUUUGGCAGAGUUUCGAGGCAUUUUCAAAUACCGGAAUUUUCAGAACUGGGUGAAUUUUCUAUCCUACCUCACUCUUGGUUUUUCUGUUGUUUUUAUUUUCUUAACCGGUCAACAAACAAACCGAAACAAAUAAAUGCGCACAUAGCACGUAAGAUGCAUCAGGAUGGUCUUUUAUUUCGGGUACACUUGUCCUAGACGGACCCAACCCCUGUGUUGAGUUCCCAAAAGUCAAAUGCACAUGAUGCAAACAAACGUUCCUACUAGGGAUCCAGCAUGAGGCUAUGUUAUUCUAGGUUUAAACCUGGGGUGUGUUCUAGACAUGGCUUACCCAAGCGGACAGCUUGAGCCAAGGUGGGAGCGACGUACCGAGAGCACGAAAGUCUAUCCGGCCUAGUGGCUGAUCCAUCCUCGUUCUAUUUGGUACGAUCUCUAACAUAAAAUUGGGCCACGCAUACGUAUGCACUAUAUUUUAGAAGACUCAAAAAGGAGGUGUAAGAAGACAGUAAUAAAGUUCAAAUAAUCUCAAAGCGGUAAAUGAGCGGCAAUUAGCACAUUAGGCCCACAAAUACAGUAUUAUCAAUAAUGAAUAAAGCCAAGUACAAAUUACAUUACAAGCUCGAAUUCUGGAACCCUGAACCAGAGAUUUUGGGUUCGAUCCCCAGCAGAGUCGCCAGAGCUGUCACACCUCCUUUUUCCCGAUAGGGAUAGGGGAUAAGGAAAUUUUUCUAAUUUAAGUGACAUUAUUCGAAUUGAGAUUAUUUUUAUUUUUUUCAGAGUCGCCACUUGGAAUAUUUAGGGUGUUCCAAGUCACCGAUUUAUUUUAAAUCUCAAAUUGAGAAAAUUUGACUCGGUUUAUGGUCCGCGAACAUAGAAGACCGAGUAAGGAAUUCUAUUAACUCGGGAGAAGGUGUCAGGCACUCCCGAAUUCCGUAGUUUUAGCACGGUCUCUUUAAUCAUAUAUGACUUAAUUAGAUUGUUUAAUCACAUAUUUUAAAACCUAAGUAUAUUUUACCUUUUACCACUUUUAAUUAUGACAUUUAUCGAUUUAAUCUUUGAAACAGACUACAUGUGUGUAAGUCUGCUUUGUUUGGGGCACUAAAAUCAUGUCACGUGAACGAGUACAUAAUUAAUUGUGCUUUAUUAAUUUAAGAUUGUUUGGCUGAAGUUGCGUGAAUGCAUACCUCGAUUAAUUUUGGAUAUCGGGAUCACGUCACGUGGCAUGUACGCAUUCACGAUAGUAGUUUAAAAUCCGCGCCUAAAGUAUUUUUACGAGUGUUUAAUUAAGGCAUUUUAUUUACUAAGAUUGUUUGACCAUGGUCACGCGAACAUGUACCUUAGUUUGUUUUUGGCAUCACAACUAUGUCACGCGUGCGUGUACAUAAUUAUAAUAAUUAAGUUGAUUAUAAAUACCUUAAGUUAUGCUUAUGUCUCUAAACUAAAUACUCUAUGUCAUAUGGCUAAGUGUAAAUGUUUAAUACUAGGUGAUAUGAUUGUUUGCAUUAGAUGGGGGCAGCCUAUGUAUUAUCUGUCAAGAGGUCCCCGAUUUAAAGUUUGAGGUCUGAUAAGGAUUGAGUCCAAAUGAACUCUAACCCAAGACAUAUAUUUUCGUUAAUGGGCCUAGCUAAUGGAUUCAGUUCAAAAGGAUUUGGGCCUGCUUGAGUCUAAUUGACUCUGGCCCAAUGCAUAUUUUAAGGCAGCUAAAUGAAUUCAGUCCAAACGAUUUGGGCCUAGUGAUCAUGGAGUCCAAAUAACUCUGGUCCAAUACCAUGUUGUUAAGCAAUCAAUCAAUUAAACAUAUUUAAUUCAGAAAGAUUUGGGCCUGAUGAUGAGUCCAAAUGACUCUGGCCUAAUGUUCAUUUUUAUGGACAACUAAAUAAAAUUAACUAAAGACAUUUGGGCCUGGUGAUAAUGAGUCCACGUGACUCUGGCCCAACUCAAUGUUAUUAACCAUUCAAUCAAUUAAACAUAUUUAAUUCAGAAAUAUCUGGGUCUUAUGAUGAGUCCAAAUGACUCUGGCCCAAUGUUAAUUUUUAUGGACAACUAAAUAAAAUUAACUAAAGACAUUUGGGCCUAGUGAUAAUGAGUUCAUGUGACUCUGGCCCAGUGUAUAUUUAUGUGAAUGAGUUUGAAAUUAAAAUUUGUAACAACAAUUAUCAGAUUUUACCUAUAUUUUGUUUAUCUUUUAAAACAGAAAACUAAAAAGGGUCUGGGGACACGAACCAAAAUUAAAAUUGGAUAAUUUUCUUUUGAUUGCUUAGAUCUCCUAUUUCUUAUAUUAACAUAGUGAUAAGUUUUAAAACUCAUUUGCAUUUGAAAAUCUUAAAGUGUAAAGGCCUUUAAUCAACUCAUUUUUAUUAGCCAAAGACCCAGAGUACAAUCUCAUGGACCCAAUUGAUUUGGGUCUGAAUUCGUGCCCUAAUUACUGUUAGGUUGCUUGUAAAAUCCAGCUUUUUAUGAUUUUUAACUAAUAGCAUUGGAAUUACUAUAUUUUAAUUAUUUAAUGACAUAGUAAAGCUACUAACUAACGCAUUGUAUGAGAGGAUAUAAUAUAAAACAGAACUAAAUUAUUACAUCUCACUAACAUGGAAAGUGAUAACAAAUCUGCCUACUACUAAUCUAACAAAUUUUCUAGGAAAAAGAAUGCUAUCUUGUUUUUACUAUUCGAACAUACCGAUCUUAUGACUACAUGAAGCUUUAAACAUAUUUUAUAAUUUUUCCAGAACCCUUUAACAUGAAGCUAACAUAACUUAAAUUGCCUAAAACAGUAUAAAUAAUUAACUCUACAUACUUUCAUACAUAACUCUCAACCAAACAACUUCAAACAACAUGAUUCAUGCAGUGCUCAGAUGAAGUAGAAAUUUUUGAUAACCAGCAAAAAUAAAACUUUACAUUGUUAAAAGAAAAUACCUUGAUAGCAGCAAGCAAACAACAUUUAAGAAAAUAAGUCUCUAAAAGCUUGAAGUAAAGCAGCAGCAAUGAAACCGAGUAGAAUAAGAAGACGACCAGAUUUUUAAAAAUAGGAAAGGAAUGUAUAUUUUUUAUUCUAAAAGAUCAAGGUUGAUUUUCAGAAGUUUUUCUUUUGAAAGAGAGCAAAAUCUUAAGGCAGUCUAUAUGUGUCCAUAAUGUGUCUUCAGAUCCUUUUCUAAUGAAGAAAGAGGAGUGUAUUAUAUUGAGUGAGGGAGUGAAAAAGGAUGAGAAUUAGGUACAAAAGAAUCUGCCAGAAUUCCCUCUAAAUUACGAAAAUGGCAUCUUUCUUAACAGAAAUGGACAAUUGUCUAAUUUCUAGUACUUUCCUUAUCUCAGAAAAGGGACAAGUGCCCAAUUUCUGGAUAUUUUUGGAUCUUAUCCCUAUUUUCCUACUCAGCAUUGGGACAGUUUUCCCUAUUCUAAGAGUUUCAAGUAUUUUUUGAAUAAUUUUCAAAAUUAGGAUUCCAAAACUGACCCUUAAGGGUCUUGGAAUUAUCUCAGAACUAGAUUGGUUCUGGGCCUGAGUCAGGUGACUCGCGGCCUAAGGACCUUGGGCUCUUAAGCUUUUACAAAGCUAUGGACCUGUUUAUUCAGACAGGCCCAAUUUAUGAGCCAAGUAGAAUGUGCCACUUCAGUGAGGCCCGGUUCUUAACCAAACCAUACAACAGUAAAAAUAAAUAAAAAAGAACGGCAAUUAAUUUAACAAAAAUAAAUAACACACCAGUAAUAUUAAAAAUAAACUUAGAACUAAUAAAGAUAAAAAAAUAAAUAAUAAAAAANNNNNNNNNNNNNNNNNNNNNNNNNNNNNNNNNNNNNNNNNNNNNNNNNNNNNNNNNNNNNNNNNNNNNNNNNNNNNNNNNNNNNNNNNNNNNNNNNNNNNNNNNNNNNNNNNNNNNNNNNNNNNNNNNNNNNNNNNNNNNNNNNNNNNNNNNNNNNNNNNNNNNNNNNNNNNNNNNNNNNNNNNNNNNNNNNNNNNNNNNNNNNNNNNNNNNNNNNNNNNNNNNNNNNNNNNNNNNNNNNNNNNNNNNNNNNNNNNNNNNNNNNNNNNNNNNNNNNNNNNNNNNNNNNNNNNNNNNNNNNNNNNNNNNNNNNNNNNNNNNNNNNNNNNNNNNNNNNNNNNNNNNNNNNNNNNNNNNNNNNNNNNNNNNNNNNNNNNNNNNNNNNNNNNNNNNNNNNNNNNNNNNNNNNNNNNNNNNNNNNNNNNNNNNNNNNNNNNNNNNNNNNNNNNNNNNNNNNNNNNNNNNNNNNNNNNNNNNNNNNNNNNNNNNNNNNNNNNNNNNNNNNNNNNNNNNNNNNNNNNNAGUAUAUAUAUAUAUAUAUAUAUAUAUAUAUAUAUAUAUAUAUAUAUAUUAAGUUUGUUUAAUUUAAACGAUUUAAAAAGAAUAUCAAACAGUAAUAAAUAAAUAAAAUAAAGAAAAAAGAACAGUAAUCGACACAAAAUAUAAAGAUGAAAAACAGGAAAUAACAUAAAAUAUACCAAAAAUAAAAUAGAUCUAGCCGCUAAAAACCCUCAUGCUAAGACUCCCAUCUGGGAUCUGAGAUCCUUGAUGGGAGAUCUUGGCAGGAGGAUUAUUAAACGGAUUAGGUUGGAUUUAGGGUUUUGAAAAAUAAAUCUAGGGUUUCGGAGACCCUAGAUCUAAGAUCUAUGAUUAUUGGUAGGGUUUUGGGGGAUUUGGUUGGUAAGGUGAGGUUCAAAGAGGUGAGGGGAGUGUAUAGGGUAAGUUUGAGUGGCUUUGGAGGUCCACCGCCGCCGUAGGGCAAUUUUCGGCGGCGGCGUGGCAGGAGCGUAUUGGGGCGGUUAGGGUUUGGUUAGAGAGAGGUGAGAGAUGGAUCGUCUCUAGGGUUAGAGAGAGGGGGGAGACGAAAUGAGGGGGUAGGAGAGGGUUUGUACACUUAUAUGUUAAGUGACAAGUGAGUUCUGAGCCGUUGGAUCUUGUGAAGAUCAACGGCAAGGAUCGCCUGGCAUUUAAAUGGCGUCGUUUAGAUUAGUGUGGGGCUGGGCGGAUUCUGGGUAUUGGGCUCGGGUGUUUUGGGCUAGAUUUUGGGGAUUGGGCUAGUUUUUACAUUGGCCCAGUUAGAUUUUAGGCUAAUUAAACCCCUUUUUGUUUAAUUAACUUUUAAAAAUCUAUCUAUUUGUAUUAUUUACAUAAUUAGUUAAUCUUCAAUUGUUAAAAGGAAAAAUUACUAAAUUUAACACUAAAACUAAAAAUGUCAAAAAUAAACCAUAUUUGUAUUGUUGUUUUCUAUGAUUUCAAAAAUGCUAAAAAUGCAUGAGAAAUGCAACUAAAUGCAAAUGAUUUCAAAUAAUUAACAAAAAUCCUAAAAAUAAAUCUAAAAAAAUAAAUAUGAAUAAUUUAUUUAUUAAUUUUUAGGAAUAUUUUGGUAGGGUAAAAAUUACAUGCUCACAACACUAAUUGCAUCUCAAUUUCAAACUAGUAGUAUAUUAUCCUCGCUAUCCAUUUUGUCCCAUUUGCAUUUCACUCCAUUUUGGGGAGAAAAGGAAAAAAUCAUCAUGUCUUUUGCCUUAAAGAAGAAAAUGAAGAGAAAUUUCUUUGGAUGUGUGAGAGCAAGGUGUGGUUGUAUUGAUUUGUACAACUUGUGCUCAAUACAUUGUCCUUAAAAUGAAUGUCUUAGCCUUACAAAAAUGUGGAUGUAGGUGCCUUUGAUAAUCAAUACUCCUUUGUCAAGCUGCAGCUUUUGUAUUGGCACUAAAAGUAGUUCUGCCAUACUGUUAGUCUGUUACAGCGUAUGUGACUAAACAUUUGCAGCUUAUCUAGGUUCUACUUCAGGUGGAUGUAUAACUACGAUUGAACUAUCAAUGGUGUCACAAUCUUUUGCCUGUAGGACAAACAAUAUGGCUUUUGCUACAAAAUUCCCGGGCCAGGAUAAAGCAUUCAUUUAUGUUGGGCUAAACCAGCCUGCAUAUAUUCUUAACAUGGUGUGAUAUUGUCCGCUUUGGGCCAAGCCCGCAUGGAUUUCCUAAAAGGUCUCGCACCAUUAAGAGAUCCAUACACCUUAUAUGUAUGUUCUCAAUCUUUUCAGCUACCAAUUUUGGACUUUGUUCACACACCCAACAAUCUCCCUCUUGAACUGGCCCAUCACCAUGAUCCACAGGUCCCCCCUCCAACUAAAUUCGGUGUGGUCCAUUACCGCGAUUUGCGGGUCAAAGAUUCAACGUGUGCCACCCACAUCGCUUAGGUAUUUUUGGCAAACGAAGUCCGCAACUAGCUUCUUCUUUUGUGUGUGCAUCCCCAAGCUCGUAAGUGUAAGCAAAUCGAGCCUGGCACCAUCACUCAGCCAUCGCCAUACUCGUCCCGUUAAACCUGGGUUAUGAUAUCAGUUGUUGGGUUAAAACAACCCAAAAAUACUCUUAACAAUUUAUUUAUGUGUUCUAAAGAUCCUUAAUUUAUCGAUCAACAGAUGAAGUCAUCAAGUCUUAAUAUUUAGAUGAAAGAAAACCACAAAAGCCUUUGUAAAAGGAGCACUGUUGCAUGCUAACAAACUUGAUUUAAACUGAUAUUUUAUUUCAUGUGUUUGAUGUAGAACACAUGAAAGGAGAAAAGCUCCUGGCCUCUGAUUCUUUUGCAGAUGUGGCUACUCGUUGCUGCAUUGCUUGAAAAUCAAUAAUUGACUUACUUUUAUGAGAUGCUUCUUACAUCCAGCAACCCAAUCAUUAAACAUAAUGAUAUUAAAUAUCCAAAUAACGCGUCCUUACGCGGUUAUUUGGAUGCUGAAGAUUGACAAGAAAGACAAGUCAUCGGUGGGGCACUACAAGGGCUAGCCCUUUCUACGAUUCUUGUUUUACCACUACAAUUGAUCUUAUUUAGAACCCUUUAUUCUGAUAAGAUUUAAGAGAGCAUAAACUCAGCUGUCAAACCUGUAUGGGUCAAAAUCUGCCUCCUCAGUGGGUUUUAGCAUGGAGCGGUAUCGUGGAAAGCGAUAUGGUCGAGGUCGACUAGUGGAUAAUAGGGCUCGUAGCCGAGCAGUCAAUAACGGCUGAGGUCGAGUAUCAAGGGCAGAGCUAACGGCUAGCUUUUGUAAUAGGAAAUUUAGGAAAAUAUUUCUUGAUGUUUGUACUUUUAGGGUUGACUAGGGUAUGUCCCAUAUAAAUAGAAAAAGAGAUAGGAGGAGAGGGGCAUGCAACAUUCUAUGAUAAGAACACUAUUUGAGAAAAAAGACUUUCUCUCUAAAAAAAGAUGCAAACACUACAUUUCUGAAAAGAUUCGAUUAUAUAUUAUUCCGGGUUAUUUUCACCUGUGGUCAUUCAACUAAAUAUUAGUUUCACAAAAGUUCUCAACUUUUAUUUUCCACUUUACAAUAACUCAACUAAUAGGUUAUAACUCUGAAUUCAUUUUGGUUGUUCCCAUUUGCUAAUUGCUCUUUUAGAAUGCCACAUCAGCAUCUAAUAUCCCAUUUUUAAAAUUAACCCAUUACUCCCUCCGAUGCACUUUAAUUAAAUUAUUCUAAUUAUUCUAAAUUAUUCUAAUGUUGUCUUACCUAGCAACAUAUUCUAACGUUGUCUUGUCUAGCAAGUGAAAUGUUAGGCAUUAUCACGGUCCCGUUAAAAAUUUCGGGUUGUGACAGAUAAAUAUGAUCCUUACCGUUUAUCAUGUGCCUCAAAUUCAAGCAUUAGUAAUGGAAAUAUUUCUCGUAAGCGUUUUCCGUUUUAAUUGGCUCUACACGGGAAGGGAUGAACUUAAAUUAGUCGAGCUAAUGAAUACAUGAUGGAUGGUUAUUAAACAAAAAAAAAAGGUUAAAGAACUUGUAGGCCAAUUAUUUUUCAUAACCUUAAUUUGUGAUUUAAUUUUGAGCUAAUCCGCUUUGUUUUAAUUUUGGACAAAAUUGUACUUCCUCCGGACCAUUUUAAUUGAUUUUUUUAAAAGUUUUCACACAUAUUAAGGAAUUAAGCUUUUAGCAUUAAUUGACAAUGAAACUAGACAUAUUAACCUUAAUUUAUCCGUUAAAAAUACAACAAUACUCCUAGCAUGUUUACUUCAAUGGCAACUUUGAAAAAAAAAGUUAAUUACUUUUUGAUAUCUGAAAAAAUCAAAUAUUAUGGACCACAAAAAAAGACUAAAAAAUUAAUUAAAAUGCACCGGAGGGAGUAAUGGAUUAAUUUUAAAAAUGGGAUAUUAGAUGUUGAUGGGGCAUUCUAAAAUUUUGCAAUUAGCACAUUUCAGUUGCCAUGACAGAUUUCCGGCGGGUAUAUGUUGAGGGAACAACCAAAAUGACUUUAGAGUUAUAGCCUAUUAGUUGAGUUAUUUUAAAGCGACAAAGGAAAGUUGAGUGACUUUUGUGAAACUAACAUUUAGUUGAAUGACCACGGGUGAAAAUAUACUUUUUCAUCAGAUCUGAGAAUAGUUCCAAUAUUACAGUAUAUGCCUAUCACUCAUCCGAGAAUAGUUCCAAUAUUACAGUAUAUGCCUAUCACUCAUCACUGUAAGAAGGAGGAAUCAUCCACCCCAUUCGAUAUUGGGUGAAUCAUUCUCCUUAUUUACGUUAAUGUCAUCUAUAAUUAUGUCUUCUACUUGAAAUUCUUCUAUCAUUAAUGAUCUGGAAAUAUUGAAUGUACGCAAUAUUUAAUCCUUCGCGAACAUUGUCCGGUUUUAUUUGAGUCAACUAGUUAUAAAUCUGAGAAUAUUAUUAUUAACUAGGUUUAAUCCUUUUUUAUAUAAAAUUAGUUAGUUUAAUCAAAAGGCUACAUUUUUUUUGUCAAACAAAGCCGAUAUCUUAAUUAAGCAUUAUUCGCAAAAGUAGCAUUUGCUAAAACUUACCUUCUGACAGCACUAUAGGAAUAUGCAAAAUUCAAAAGCAACGGCUAUUUUUAUCAUUGCCGUGAGGAUGUAGAUUCUGGCAAGUAUUAUUGAGGAGGAUUGGCCCCCUUUACAGAGUGGUCACAUAUAUAGAAUAAAGGAUGGAGUUUUAUCUGAGGUUUUCUUAUUCAGAAUAUUCAUCUUGUCUGGUUAGAAAUGGUGAUUAGGAUUCCUCCUUAUCAAAUCCUAUGUCAACAAGCGCUAUGUUGCGCGGACUCUUCACAACGAUGCCGCACCCGUGUCAGAUCCUCCAAAAAUACACUUUUUUGGAGGAUCCGACACGCACCCGGCAACAUUUUCGGAGAGUCGGAGCAACAUAGAACACGCGAGCUUCUGUGCUUAGGUGGAAUCAUCUAUGGUUGCCUUGUCAGCAUUUGUGGCCCUGAUAAUUGGUCAAAUGGCUUCAAGUCAUUGUCAAUCUCACAUUAAUACUUGAUUUUGCCCAAUGUGAACAUCAUAUUAUGUGUUUGUAUGAGGCCUUGAUUACAAGGCUUCGAAAUCAUAAAGUUCAAAUCUUGUGCCAUGCAUCACAUUCAGAAUCUUCAGAGAAUACUGAUUUCUUUAUUGAUGAAAAACAAAGGUAAACGCCAUUUGAUCGUUUACCUUAAUACACUGUCUCAGGUACCUGUCAAGAAAGAGGUAUUUCUCUUAAAAUUGAUAUAUUUAAUACUGUCAGGAAUAAUGCAACUUUCAUGUCUUGUCCCGAAUUCAUGUCUGUGCCGAUAAAAGCUGUUAACAUUCUUAGCAAUCUACUUGGUGAAACUAAGGACUGGUCUAUUAACAUCUAGAGUGCUUUGACAUGGUGUUUAACUUGUAUCAUAUCAAUCGCAAUUGAAAGCUGACCAGCAUAUUAUGUGUGAUUAUAAGAGUUGUAAAGCUAGUUUUAUGUGAAAAUAGACAAGUAAACACAGAUAUGACUGAACAGGAGAUGAAAAUAAAACCACUUUAUUCACUUUUGAAUUAUUAAGAAGAAUAUUACACAAAAGAAUAAUAGGACUUGAAUCUGCAUUAUGAGGGAAUUGAUUCCUUGGUGGUAAACUUUGUUACAGUUUUUGCCCCUUUACAACCUGGACCAUUUUCCACCUGAACGACAUUAGCCUUCGCGUCAGGCAGUUGCUUGCAUUAACAAUAUGGAUUACACAUGUUCAUCUAAGAACGAGAACAUGGUGAAAUAACCCCACCUUUCACAUAACAUCUUCCCCUCAUAAUACCUGCUAGAAAUGGAUACAGAACAAAGAAUAAUAUUUUGACAAGGUCUUUUUAGUAGAAUAAUGGACCGUCGAACAGGUAAAGAGGGGCAUUAUUGGAUUUCUGCAACAAAAUAUUGCUUCACAUGCAUGAAUAUGACAGUUGACAACUUCAGAGUGCCAUACCUCUACAGUCAAGAAAAAAGGAAAGUAGGAGGUUUAUCCAACUCUUUUUUGGAAAAUUUGCGCUACCUUGUGGAAUCUCAUUUAAGGAAACCAUUUGAAGCUUACAACAGAUCAAAAAGUAAACUUUGGGGCCCAAACAAUGAGAUCUUCCAACUAUAUAUACCUCCCCAAACCAUUCAUCAAAAUU
rnacentral:lncRNA from 1 species